rnacentral:sRNA from 2 species
UCCUAGCCCAGAUUGAAGUGAAAAGCCCGGAGCUAAAAAAAAUAAUUUUUCUUGCCAGAAAACAGCGACCAACGGAAGCUCGUUUUAUGGCUUAGAAAAAUAGUUUUUUUAGCGAGGACUUGGAACGGAAAGCUGGAUUAGCU